rnacentral:rRNA from 1 species
GAUGAACGCUAGCGGCAGGCUUAACACAUGCAAGUCGAGGGGUAUAGGUUUUCGGACCUAGAGACCGGCGCACGGGUGCGUAACGCGUAUGCAAUCUACCUUUCACAGAGGGAUAGCCCAGAGAAAUUUGGAUUAAUACCUCAUAGUAUAGCAGUUUCGCAUGAAACCACUAUUAAAGUAUCAACGGUGAAAGAUGAGCAUGCGUCCCAUUAGCUAGAUGGUAAGGUAACGGCUUACCAUGGCUACGAUGGGUAGGGGUCCUGAGAGGGAGAUCCCCCACACUGGAACUGAGACACGGACCAGACUCCUACGGGAGGCAGCAGUGAGGAAUAUUGGUCAAUGGACGCAAGUCUGAACCAGCCAUGCCGCGUGCAGGAUGACGGUCCUAUGGAUUGUAAACUGCUUUUGUACGAGAAGAAACAACAUUACGUGUAAUGUCUUGACGGUAUCGUAAGAAUAAGGAUCGGCUAACUCCGUGCCAGCCGCCGCAGUAAAAC